rnacentral:rRNA from 1 species
UAUGGCGACUAUACCGUGGGUGUUCACCUCUUCCCAUUCCGAACAGAGAAGUUAAGCCCCACAGGGCCAAUGGUACUGGCGUAACAGCCGGGAGAGUAGGUUGUUGCCAAUU